UGGGGAAUAUUGCACAAUGGGCGCAAGCCUGAUGCAGCCAUGCCGCGUGUAUGAAGAAGGCCUUCGGGUUGUAAAGUACUUUCAGCGAGGAGGAAGGCGGUAAGGUUAAUAACCUUAUCGAUUGACGUUACUCGCAGAAGAAGCACCGGCUAACUCCGUGCCAGCAGCCGCGGUAAUACGGAGGGUGCAAGCGUUAAUCGGAAUUACUGGGCGUAAAGCGCACGCAGGCGGUCUGUCAAGUCGGAUGUGAAAUCCCCGGGCUCAACCUGGUAACUGCAUUCGAAACUGGCAGGCUAGAGUAUUGUAGAGGGGUGUAGAAUUCCAGGUGUAGCGGUGAAAUGCGUAGAGAUCUGGAGGAAUACCGGUGGCGAAGGCGGCCCCCUGGACAAAGACUGACGCUCAGGUGCGAAAGCGUGGGGAGCAAACA
rnacentral:rRNA from 1 species